GACUGUGCACCAUUAACACUGUCCAAGCCUUAAUCAAGAGAGAUGGAACUCAGAACUUGGGAUUGGAGGACAAAAGUCUCAGAGUUAUUGUUGUUUUUGGUUCUAAUCCGUCCCCUUUCCAGUCCUGGUUGUUGUAGCUUUAGAUGGCAUGGACAUGAAUAAAUUACAUUUAUGGUUCCUCCUCCUUCUUGCAGAGACACAGUGUGUGGAAAGAGCAUUCAUGACUGCAGUGUUCCAAAAACAAGAUGGGUCUGAAAUAAUUCCUCAGGCAGAAGAAACGUGACCCUUUGUCAGUCUGCAAGAAAGGUUCCUGGGAGGGUGCCCUUGAUGUCACCUGAGGUGCAGUGGGCCCUUGUCCAUUUUUAUUAUGGGACCUAAGGUGACCAUGAGGAAGGAAGAAAGGGGUUUAUUUAAAUCAGAUAUAUUGGUUGUUCCUGAAUCCACGGUCACUCCCAUUGGUACUGAAGAGAGCUCAUCUUUUACAAACUCAGUGUUUUAGUAUGGUUUUUGCUUACCCUUUCAAGUCACAGGUAAAUGUUUCAUAAGGAAAUCACAGUUUUUAGAUUCCCUGUUAUUG
rnacentral:lncRNA from 1 species